UGCGCCCCCUGGCGGAGCCCCGCCGGCCACGGCGGCCGAGGAGGGUCAAGGCGCGGAGAGCGCGCGAACGCGGUGCCUCCGGGCCCCCCUGAGCUGUCUAAGCUGUAUUAACUGUAGAUCCUGUAGCAGGGCCUGGCGAUUGGAGCAUGGCAGUGUCUGGAGACUCACACCAAACUUCAAGGUCACGCUCAUCUCAUGUAACUGUAGGGGUCACUCCACCACACCAUUCCUCACUUUUCUUGAGUGGCAAAGGAGUGAUCAGAAGCAUUCAUAUAACACAAGAGAAACGAGCAACACAAGUCUUGUCUUCUGUUAAGCACACUUACAGAAGCCCUCGUCACGGAUAAGUAUUCCACUGUUCUGCUGAUAUGCAAACUCUGAACCAAAAGGUAGCGCCACUUUCAAACAACCUACAGUCUAAGAGAGGAGAGAGCAGAAGGUUUCAAAGGACCGCAAGAACCAGUCCGAGAGAAGAGAUCUUACUAGCCAAGUUUAGAUCUUCUGAUUUUGUGGAUAGAAGCAAUUGAACUUCAUGAGAGGUGAACAACUUUCAUUCCUGGGGCUGGUUUCCCAGAGGGACUGAUGGGCCUCAAUCCCCCUGUACUUCGUCCUCUCUCCAAUUAGCACUCGAGCAACGGGGAAAGAUGCCAUGACAGCUGGAAAUUCAUUCACAUGCUUUUUAAUCACAUGACUCCAGGAACUACAGUCUAGGAAGAACAAUUUAUAUUGUGAGACAUAUAAUAAAUGGUUAGAGUCUAUAACAGUGGGACUACUUAUAUAAAUAAGACUUUGCAAAAUUCAAACAAGGCUAUACUCAGCAACUAUUCAUACCAGUGCAGACCAGUGACUGCGGGAAGAAUUUUAAAUAGUCUGCCCUGCAGUUAGGUAGGCAUCUUCAUUAUUCCUCUGCCCAAAACCAUUAAAUUGUCUACAGUGCGGUAAUUUUAAUCUCAGGUGACAAUUAAAGAAGCUGAUUAGCAAAGUAUCACAAUGCUACCAACUGCAGGAGGCACACUUAAAAUACCAAUGAAUCAACCAAACUGUCCUACCUAGGUGCAUAUGCAUGCUAUGCUGCUCAGGAUAUUACUUUAAUGGCCCUACAGAAAAAAAGGAAUCAAGUCAGCUAAUGUAAUUAGUGGCAGUCAAGCAAGCUAAAUCUUGUUGCAGCUCCCCUGCUGCAGAGGAACUACAUGUGUGACAAAUCUGACCUUGCGAUGCCAAGAUCCACUUGUUCCACGUGCUAUCGUCAAGUUAUUUUGAGGAACUUGUUACUAACGGACACUGACUCAGCAUUAGGAUUGAAAAUAUUUUCUUCAUUUGCAGGUGACACCAGUUAUCUGCCAAACGUAGCAGCAAGUUGUAACUUUGGAGGGUUUUUCUUCCAAAGGGGUUUUCGUGUUAUUCCCUCUCCAUUUCCAAAUGCUGUAGGUCCAUGGCAUUCUGGCUGAAGCUCAGAACAAAAGUCAAGAAAGUCCAUCAUCAUCCAUGGAGUUUCUGUUGCUGUUGAAGAGAGAGAAAAAGCAGGAGGAGAAGAAUUACAAUGUAUUGUUCAAAGUCAGAGGAAGUACUUACCACUUGGAUUACUGGAGCUGUAAGGGGAUUCCAGCUGACAAGAGAAAAAAAAGUGAUUCUAGUAAAGAUGUGAACUCCUCAGAAUGGGAAGUCGUGACAAGUUGGAAAUCGCCAGAAUUGUUUCCCGCUGAGCUCCGCUGUGUAAGCUGUGAAGCAGCAAGGUACUUGGAGAGAUCACCUUUAGUGACAGACCACUAGUGUCCCUCUGGCAAAGGGCUGUGCCUCCUGAAGAUACAAAUGUGGAGGUGGUUCGUGUUGGUGGACAAAGUGGAGCUCCAUGAAACUGUUCAUCUUGGAUCCAUGCUUUC